UGGUGCACUUGUAGGAGUAAUUGAAGU
rnacentral:piRNA from 1 species